AUUGAACGCUGGCGGCAGGCUUAACACAUGCAAGUCGAGCUGAGCGAGGGUGCUUGCACCUUAGCUUAGCGGCGGACGGGUGAGUAAUGCUUAGGAAUCUUCCUAUUAGUGGGGGACAACAUUCCGAAAGGGAUGCUAAUACCGCAUACGCCCUACGGGGGAAAGCAGGUGAUCACUUGUGACCUUGCGCUAAUAGAUGAGCCUAAGUCGGAUUAGCUAGUUGGUGGGGUAAAGGCCUACCAAGGCGACGAUCUGUAGCGGGUCUGAGAGGAUGAUCCGCCACACUGGGACUGAGACACGGCCCAGACUCCUACGUGAGGCAGCAGUGGGGAAUAUUGGACAAUGGGGGGAAACCCUGAUCCAGCCAUGCCGCGUGUGUGAAGAAGGCCUUUUGGUUGUAAA
rnacentral:rRNA from 1 species